rnacentral:rRNA from 1 species
UUUAUUCCGUUCAGAGGAACUUGUCCCUUAAUCGAUAAUCCUCGUUUUAUCUUGCUUAAUUUAUUUAGUAUGUAUACCGCCGUUAUAAGUUUAUUUUUUUAGGAUUUUAUUUACUAUUAAUUUUAUUAAAUUUUAUUUCAGGUCAAGGUGCAGCUUAUAAUUGAGUGGUGGUGAGUUACAAUAUUAUUUCAAUAAAUGAAUUUUUUUUUUGAAAUAUUUUGAUGAAAGUGGAUUUGAUAGUAAUUUUUAUUAUAAAGUUAUUUUGAUUUUGGCUCUAGAACAAGUACACAUCGCCCG